rnacentral:misc_RNA from 1 species
GAAUUUAUAGGACGCUCUUUUUAGAGGUCCGACCACUUCAUUUCCUUACACUGUGCACACACUUCUUUUUACACACAUUUUAACACAUUAGUAUAAGAAUGUAACAGUCUCUUAAUUGAGCAUAAAUAAAAACAAAACUUUCAGCAACGGAUCUCUUGGCUCU